rnacentral:rRNA from 2 species
AGAGUUUGAUCCUGGCUCAGGACGAACGCUGGCGGCGCGCCUAACACAUGCAAGUCGAACGAGCGAGAGAGAGCUUGCUUUCUCGAGCGAGUGGCGAACGGGUGAGUAACGCGUGAGGAACCUGCCUCAAAGAGGGGGACAACAGUUGGAAACGACUGCUAAUACCGCAUAAGCCCACGGGUCGGCAUCGACCAGAGGGAAAAGGAGCAAUCCGCUUUGAGAUGGCCUCGCGUCCGAUUAGCUAGUUGGUGAGGUAACGGCCCACCAAGGCGACGAUCGGUAGCCGGACUGAGAGGUUGAACGGCCACAUUGGGACUGAGACACGGCCCAGACUCCUACGGGAGGCAGCAGUGGGGAAUAUUGCACAAUGGGGGAAACCCUGAUGCAGCGACGCCGCGUGGAGGAAGAAGGUCUUCGGAUUGUAAACUCCUGUUGUUGAGGAAGAUAAUGACGGUACUCAACAAGGAAGUGACGGCUAACUACGUGCCAGCAGCCGCGGUAAAACGUAGGUCACAAGCGUUGUCCGGAAUUACUGGGUGUAAAGGGAGCGCAGGCGGGAAGACAAGUUGGAAGUGAAAUCCAUGGGCUCAACCCAUGAACUGCUUUCAAAACUGUUUUUCUUGAGUAGUGCAGAGGUAGGCGGAAUUCCCGGUGUAGCGGUGGAAUGCGUAGAUAUCGGGAGGAACACCAGUGGCGAAGGCGGCCUACUGGGCACCAACUGACGCUGAGGCUCGAAAGUGUGGGUAGCAAACAGGAUUAGAUACCCUGGUAGUCCACACCGUAAACGAUGAUUACUAGGUGUUGGAGGAUUGACCCCUUCAGUGCCGCAGUUAACACAAUAAGUAAUCCACCUGGGGAGUACGACCGCAAGGUUGAAACUCAAAGGAAUUGACGGGGGCC